rnacentral:rRNA from 1 species
AUUGAACGCUGGCGGCAGGCCUAACACAUGCAAGUCGAACGAGUGGCGGACGGGUGAGUAAUGUCUGGGAAACUGCCCGAUGGAGGGGGAUAACUACUGGAACCGGUAGCUAAUACCGCUUACCACGGGAUGUGCCCAGUUGGGAUUAGUUAGUAGGUGGGGUAAAGGCUAACCUAGGCGACGAGCCCUAGCUGGUCUGCGAGGAUGACCGGCCACACUGGUACUGAGACACGGUCCAGACUCCUACGGGAGGCAGCAGUGGGGAAUAUUGGACAAUGGGCGCAAGCCUGAUGCAGCAGUGCCGCGUGUAUGAAGAAGGCCUUCGGGUUGUAAAGUUCUUUCGGCGGGGAAGCGGUACCCGCAGAAGAAGCAACGGCUAACUCCGUGCCAGCAGCCGCGGUAAUUC